UAUAUAUAUAUAUAUAUAUAUAUAUAUACCCAGUGCUAACAUUGAUAAAUAUAUAAUACAAUAACAUUUAGUUUAUAUUUGUAUGCACACAUGUCAACAACUGCAUUUAUAAACGUUACUUUCAAUACGAUAUGUUAGUACACGCAUCAGAAAACACACUGUCAACAUAGCCAGACUGGAAGUCCCCAGUUUCUUACAUGCUUGAUGAGUCGACGAUAAAACUUUACAUAAGACAUUGCUUAAUUGUAUACAUUUGAUGGUAUAAUGCAGCUUGUGUGUGUGUAUAUAUAUAUAUAUAUAUAUAUAUACAUAGUUAUAGGCAUGUAUAAACAACAUCAAUUACAUGUACACUUACACAUAACCGUACCAUACUUCCAACACGUAUCAGAGAAAGCCAGGGUUCGUUACAACUUUUCUCCAACGUUUUGCAGCUUCAACUGUCAGCUGAAACUACAAAACGUUACCACGCGAACGUUUGCUGGAAGCCUUAAGAACAAGUGCUUGAAGAAAUGAAUAGGAAUGCUGGUGUGUGAUCUUUUUAAAGAGAAGAGACUGUCGAAUAAAAGGUAUCAAUGUUGAA